rnacentral:rRNA from 1 species
GGUUAAGCGACUAAGCGUACACGGUGGAUGCCUAGGCAAUCAGAGGCGAUGAAGGACGUGCUAAUCUGCGAUAAGCGUCGGUAAGGUGAUAUGAACCGUUACAACCGACGAUUUCCGAAUGGGGAAACCCAGUGCAAUYCGUUGCACUAUCGUUUGAUGAAUACAUAGUCAAACGAAGCGAACCGGGGGAACUGAAACAUCUCAGUAC